UCACUCUGGUUUCCCUUCAGAACGUAUAAAUCUUUCGCCUUUUACUAAAGAUUUCCGUGGAGGGGAACACUCAAAUGAGUCUGACUCGACUUUUUGAAGUCUCACGUAGGUGAGAU
rfam:Danaus plexippus plexippus isolate F-2 unplaced genomic scaffold DPSCF300272, whole genome shotgun sequence.